AAUGUAUGACGCCGUUGACUCUUUGUACAACGUUUGACCAUUCGUCUUAUUCAAAAAAUUUAUAUAAUUAUCAUUCAUUUUAUUGUGCCUUAAUUCAUCAUCAAAUGUUCUUUAAGCAUGAUAUAAAUAUUUUCAUAUUUGCACAAAAUUUUUGAAUAAAACGAAUGGUUAAAUGUUGGCUAAAAAGUCAAUGGCGUCAUACAUU
rnacentral:pre_miRNA from 1 species